UACGUAGGGGGCAAGCGUUGGUCCGGAUUUACUGGGCGUAAAGAGCAGCGCAGGCGGUCGUUCAAGUCGAGUGUGAAAGCCCCCGGCUCAACCUGGGGAGGGUCACUCGAUACUGAUCGACUUGAAGGCAGGAGAGGGAAGCGGGAAUUCCCGGUGUAGUGGUGAAAUGCGUAGAUAUCGGGAGGAACACCAGUGGCGAAGGCGGCUUCCUGGC
rnacentral:rRNA from 1 species